UUCGUAGGUGGCUCACUAAGUCACACGUGAAAUCCCUCAGCUUAACUGGGGAACUGCGUGUGAAACUGGAGAGCUUGAGGGUAGGAGAGGAAUGCGGAAUUCCAGGUGUAGCGGUGAAAUGCGUAGAUAUCUGGAGGAACACCGGUGGCGAAGGCGGCAUUCUGGACUAUUUCUGACACUGAUGAACGAAAGCCAGGGGAGCAAACGGGAUUAGAUACCCCGGUAGUCCUGGCCCUAAACGAUGAAUGCUUGGUGUGGCGGGUAUCGAUCCCUGCCGUGCCGCAGUUAACGCGUUAAGCAUUCCGCCUGGGGAGUACGGUCGCAAGGCUGAA
rnacentral:rRNA from 1 species